rnacentral:rRNA from 1 species
UACGGAGGGUGCAAGCGUUAAUCGGAAUUACUGGGCGUAAAGCGCACGCAGGUGGCUGAGCAAGUCGCUUGUGAAAGCCCUGGGCUUAACCUGGGAAUUGCAGUCGAAACUACUCGGCUAGAGUAUGGGAGAGGGUAGUGGAAUUCCCGGUGUAGCGGUGAAAUGCGUAGAUAUCGGGAGGAACAUCAGUGGCGAAGGCGGCUACCUGGCCCAAUACUGACACUCAGGUGCGACAGCGUGGGGAGCAAACAGG